UACGAAGGGGGGCUAGCGUUGUUCGGAAUUACUGGGCGUAAAGCGCACGUAGGCGGUUCGUUAUGUCGGAUGUGAAAGCCCUUGGCUUAACCGAGGAAGUGCAUCCGAAACUGGCGAGCUAGAGUACGAAAAGAGGAUCGCGGAAUUCCCCGGUGUAGAGGUGAAAUUCGUAGAUAUCGGGAGGAACACCGGUGGCGAAGGCGGCGAUCUGGGUCGAUACUGACGCUGAGGUGCGAAAGCGUGGGGGAGCAAACAGG
rnacentral:rRNA from 1 species